UACGUAGGGCGCAAGCGUUAUCCGGAAUUAUUGGGCGUAAAAAGCUCGUAGGCGGUUUGUCGCGUCUGCCGUGAAAGUCCGGGGCUCAACCUCCGGAUCUGGCGGUGGGUACGGGCAGACUAGAGUGAUGUAGGGGGAGACUGGAAUUCCUGGUGUAGCGGUGAAAUGCGUAGAUAUCUGGAGGAACACCGGUGGCGAAGGCGGCAUCCUGGGACCAACACUGACGCUGAGGAGCGAAAGCCAGGGGAGCAAAGCGGG
rnacentral:rRNA from 1 species